rnacentral:rRNA from 1 species
CAGCAGCCGCGGUAAUACGAAGGGUGCAAGCGUUAAUCGGAAUUACUGGGCGUAAAGCGUGCGUAGGCGGUGAGUUAAGUCUGCUGUGAAAUCCCCGGGCUCAACCUGGGAAUGGCAGUGGAUACUGGCUCGCUAGAGUGUGUCAGAGGAUGGUGGAAUUCCCGGUGUAGAGGUGAAAUUCGUAGAUAUUCGGAAGAACACCAGUGGCGAAGGCGGCUUACUGGCUCAUUCUAGACGCUGAGGUGCGAAAGCGUGGGGAGCAAACAGGAUUAGAGACCCGUGUAGUCCCUGUCUCUUAUAC